UUCACCAUCCCUGCCUCUAAAAGUGCAGGGAUUGUCUAAACCAAUUUAGACAAUGCAAAAGGUGAAUACCGCAUUGAGACAAGGUUUGGUAAACACGGCUAAAUGCUUCCCUAGUUUAGCCCUCUGUAAUUCUGAUUGGUUCAGAAGUUGGGUAAAGCCAAGACAUCUUAACCUUGUUGCGGGAAGGGACUAAAACAAGAAAUU
rnacentral:sRNA from 1 species